rnacentral:rRNA from 1 species
AUUGAACGCUGGCGGCAUGCCUUACACAUGCAAGUCGAGCGGUAACGCGGGGCAACCUGGCGACGAGUGGCGAACGGGUGAGUAAUGCAUCGGAACGUGCCCAGUUGUGGGGGAUAACUGCUCGAAAGAGCAGCUAAUACCGUAUACGACCUGAGGGUGAAAGCGGGGGAUCGCAAGACCUCGCGCAAUUGGAGCGGCCGAUGUCGGAUUAGCUAGUUGGUGGGGUAAAGGCCCACCAAGGCGACGAUCCGUAGCUGGUCUGAGAGGCCGACCAGCCACACUGGGACUGAGACACGGCCCAGACUCCUACGGGAGGCAGCAGUGGGGAAUUUUGGACAAUGGACGCAAGUCUGAUUCAGCCAUGCCGCGUGCGGGAAGAAGGCCUUCGGGUUGUAAACCGCUUUUGUCAGGGAAGAAAUCUUCUGGGUUAAUACCUCGGGAGGAUGACGGUACCUGAAGAAUAAGCACCGGCUAACUACGUGCCAGCAGCCGCGGUAACAC